rnacentral:rRNA from 1 species
ACCAGGACUUCGGUCCUGGGGACAGCGGCGAACGGGUGAGUAACACGUGGAUAACCUGCCCUCGGCACCGGGAUAGCCCGAGGAAACUCGGAUUAAUACCGGAUAGCCCUUCCGACUCUCGAGUCGGUCCGAAAAGGUAGCUUCGGCCUCUGGCCGAGGAUGGGUCCGCGGCGGAUUAGCUUGUUGGUGGGGUAAUGGCCUACCAAGGCUCCGAUCCGUAGCUGGUCUGAGAGGACGAUCAGCCACACUGGGACUGAGACACGGCCCAGACUCCUACGGGAGGCAGCAGUGGGGAAUCUUGCGCAAUGGGCGAAAGCCUGACGCAGCGACGCCGCGUGAGGGAAGAAGGCCCUAGGG